AGAUAAGCCUUCCCUUCGGGGGCCAGAAUGACAGGUGGUGCAUGGUUGUUGUCAGCUCGUCUGAGAUGUUGAAUUAAGUCCCGCAACGAGCGCAACCCUUAUUAUCAGUUGCCAGCAUUCAGUUGGGCACUCUGGUGAGACUGCCGGUGACAAACGGGGGGAAGGUGGGGAUGACGUCAAAUCAUCAUGCCCCUUAUGACCUGGGCUACACACGUGUACAAUGGACGGUACAACAAGUUGCGAAGUCGUGAGGCCGGGAAAAUUUUUUAAGCCGGUCUCAGUUCGGAUUGUAGGCUGCAACUCGCCUACAUGAAGUUGGAAUCGCUAGUAAUCGCGGAUCAGCAUGCCGCGGUGAAUACGUUCCCGGGCCUUGUACACACCGCCCGUCACACCAUGAGAGUUGUAACACCCAAAGAAAGGUGAGAUAACCUUCGGGAGUCAGCCGUUUAAGGG
rnacentral:rRNA from 2 species